UGCCAGACUCCUACGGGAGGCAGCAGUGGGGAAUAUUGCACAAUGGGGGAAACCCUGAUGCAGCGACGCCGCGUGAGCGAUGAAGUAUUUCGGUAUGUAAAGCUCUAUCAGCAGGGAAGAAGAUGACGGUACCUGACUAAGAAGCCCCGGCUAACUACAUGCCAGCAGCCGCGGUAAUACGUAGGGGGCAAGCGUUAUCCGGAUUUACUGGGUGUAAAGGGAGCGUAGACGGCGAUGCAAGCCAGAUGUGAAAGCCCGGGGCUCAACCCCGGGACUGCAUUUGGAACUGUGUGGCUGGAGUGUCGGAGAGGCAGGCGGAAUUCCUAGUGUAGCGGUGAAAUGCGUAGAUAUUAGGAGGAACACCAGUGGCGAAGGCGGCCUGCUGGACGAUGACUGACGUUGAGGCUCGAAAGCGUGGGGAGCAAACAGGAUUAGAUACCCUUGUA
rnacentral:rRNA from 1 species